rnacentral:rRNA from 1 species
UACGUAGGGGGCGAGCGUUGUCCGGAUUUAUUGGGCGUAAAGAGCUCGUAGGCGGUUCGGUAAGUCGGAUGUGAAAUCUCCACGCUCAACGUGGAGGGGCCAUUCGAUACUGCCGUGACUCGAGUCCGGUAGGGGAGUGUGGAAUUCCCGGUGUAGCGGUGAAAUGCGCAGAGAUCGGGAGGAACACCCGUAGCGAAGGCGGCUAUCUGGACCAGCACUGACACUCAGGCACGAAAGCGUGGGGAGCAAACAGG